UAGAGUUUGAUCAUGGCUCAGGAUGACCCUUAACGGCAGGCUUAAUACAUGCAAGUCGAGGGGCAGCACGCCUAGCAAUAACUGGUGGCGACCGGCGCACGGGUGCGUAACACGUAUACAAUCUACCUUAAACAGGGGGAUAGCCUUUCGAAAGAGAGAUUAAUGCCCCGUAAUAAAUUGAACGGCAUCGUUUGAUUUUGAAAGCUCCGGCGGUUUGAGAUGAGUAUGCGUCUGAUUAGCUAGUUGGUGAGGUAACGGCUCACCAAGGCGACGAUCAGUAGGGGAUCUGAGAGGACUAACCCCCACACUGGUACUGAGACACGGACCAGACUCCUACGGGAGGCAGCAGUAAGGAAUAUUGGUCAAUGGAGGCAACUCUGAACCAGCCAUGCCGCGUGCAGGAUGACGGCCCUAUGGGUUGUAAACUGCUUUUAUACAAGAGAAAACCCUGGUACGUGUACCAGGUUGAUAGUAUUGUAAGAAUAAGCAUCGGCUAACUUCGUGCCAGCAGCCGCGGUAAUA
rnacentral:rRNA from 1 species